rnacentral:rRNA from 1 species
GGGGAAUUUUGGACAAUGGGGGAAACCCUGAUCCAGCAAUGCCGCGUGUGCGAAGAAGGCCUUCGGGUUGUAAAGCACUUUUGUCAGGGAAGAAAUCCUUUGGGCUAAUACCCUAGGGGGAUGACGGUACCUGAAGAAUAAGCACCGGCUAACUACGUGCCAGCAGCCGCGGUAAUACGUAGGGUGCAAGCGUUAAUCGGAAUUACUGGGCGUAAAGCGUGCGCAGGCGGUUGUGUAAGACAGGUGUGAAAUCCCCGGGCUUAACCUGGGAAUUGCAUUUGUGACUGCACGACUAGAGUGUGUCAGAGGGGGGUGGAAUUCCACGUGUAGCAGUGAAAUGCGUAGAUAUGUGGAGGAACACCAAUGGCGAAGGCAGCCCCCUGGGAUAACACUGACGCUCAUGCACGAAAGCGUGGGGAGCAAAC